rnacentral:rRNA from 1 species
AACGUACGCUGGCGGCACGCCUAACACAUGCAAGUCGAACGAAGUAGCAAUACUUAGUGGCAGACGGGUGAGUAACAUGUAGGUAUCUGCCCUUUGGCCUGGAAUAACACGAGGAAACUUGUGCUAAUACCGGAUAAGUCUUUACGGAGAAAGCUUUAUGCACCAUUGGAUGAGCCUGCACUUGAUUAGUUUGUUGGUGGGGUAAUGGCCUACCAAGACUGUGAUCAAUAGCUGAUUUGAGAGGAUGAUCAGCCACAUUGGGACUGAGACACGGCCCAAACUCCUACGGGAGGCAGCAGUGGGGAAUCUUGCACAAUGGAGGAAACUCUGAUGCAGCGAUGCCGCGUGAGUGAAGAAAGCCUUUGGGUUGUAAAGCUCUUUCGUCGGGGAAGAAAAUGACUGUACCCGAAUAAGAAGGUCCGGCUAACUUCGUGCCAGCAGCCGCGGUAAUACGAAGGGACCUAGCGUAGUUCGGAAUUACUGGGCUUAAAGAGUUCGUAGGUGGUUGAAAAAGUUAGUGGUGAAAUCCCAGAGCUUAACUCUGGAACUGCCAUUAAAACUUUUUAGCUAGAGUAUGAUAGAGGAAAGCAGAAUUUCUAGUGUAGAGGUGAAAUUCGUAGAUAUUAGAAAGAAUACCAAUUGCGAAGGCAGCUUUCUGGAUCAUUACUGACACUGAGGAACGAAAGCAUGGGUAGCGAAGAGGAUUAGAUACCCUCGUAGUCCAUGCCGUAAACGAUGUGUGUUAGACGUUGGAAAUUUAUUUUCAGUGUCGCAGGGAAACCGAUAAACACACCGCCUGGGGAGUACGACCGCAAGGUUAAAACUCAAAUGAAUUGACGGGGACCCGCACAAGUAGUGGAGCAUGUGGUUUAAUUCGAAGAUACGCGCAGAACCUUACCAACACUUGACAUGUUCGUCGCGACUCUAAGAGAUUAGAGUUUUCGGUUCGGCCGGACGAAACACAGGUGCUGCAUGGCUGUCGUCAGCUCGUGUCGUGAGAUGUUGGGUUAAGUCCCGCAACGAGCGCAACCCUCACUUUUAGUUGCCAUCAUUAAGUUGGGCACUCUGAAAGAACUGCCAGUGAUAAGCUGGAGGAAGGUGGGGAUGACGUCAAGUCCUCAUGGCCCUUACGUGUUGGGCUACACACGUGCUACAAUGAUAUCUACAACAGGAAGCAAGACUGCGAAGUUAAGCAAAUCCCUAAAAGAUACCUCAGUUCGGAUUGCACUCUGCAACUCGAGUGCAUGAAGCUGGAAUUACUAGUAAUCGUGGAUCAGCGUGCCACGGUGAAUGCGUUCCCGGGUCU